rnacentral:rRNA from 1 species
CUGGAGACAGGUGCUGCAUGGCUGUCGUCAGCUCGUGUCGUGAGAUGUGGGUUAAGUCCCGCAACGAGCGCAACCCUUGCCUUUAGUUGCCAGCAGUUCGGCUGGGCACUCUAAAGGGACUGCCGGUGUUAAACCGGAGGAAGGUGGGGGAUGACGUCAAGUCCUCAUGGCCUUUAUGACCAGGGCUACACACGUACUACAAUGGCCGAUACAAAGGGCAGCGACACUGCGAGGUGAAGCCAAUCCCGUAAAAUCGGUCUCAGUCCGGAUUGGAGUCUGCAACUCGACUCCAUGAAGUUGGAAUCGCUAGUAAUCGUGGAUCAGCAUGCCACGGUGAAUACGUUCCCGGGCCUU